CCUACGGGGGGCUGCAGUAAGGACUAUUGGUCAAUGGACGCAAGUCUGAACCAGCCAUGCCGCGUGGAGGAUGAAGGUCCUCUGGAUUGUAAACUUCUUUUAUUUGGGAAGAAACUCCCGAUUUCCAUCGGGAUUGACGGUACCAGAUGAAUAAGCACCGGCUAACUCCGUGCCAGCAGCCGCGGUAAUACGGAGGGUGCAGGCGUUAUCCGGUUUAACGGGUGCUUAGGGGUGCGGGUGUGGGCAGGGUGGAAUCUCCGGGCUUAACCCGGAAACUGCCAUUGAUACUAUUUGUCUUGAAUACUCUGGAGGUGAGCGGAAUAUGUCAUGUAGCGGUGAAAUGCUUAGAUAUGACAUAGAACACCCAUUGCGAAGGCAGCUCACUACGGAAAUAUUGACGCUGAGGCACGAAAGCGUGGGGAUCAAACAGGAUUAGAUACCCUGGUAGUC
rnacentral:rRNA from 1 species